rnacentral:lncRNA from 1 species
CGUCAUUUGUCGAUAACCUCAGUUGUGUGAGAAAUAUAUUUUCGUUUGGUGGAACUAUUUCCAAAGUGAACAACUAGUUAUAAAGGCCAACUGCAGGGAGGUCAUGUAUGGUCCUAGAAGGUAUUAUAAGAAAUUAACAAGGCGAAGGCGCGGGCCAACACCAUGCACACAGUAUGUUACGAUCACGACAACCUAUGGUUUCGUGUGACGGAUUUUGGCAGACCAAGCCAAUGUAUUACCGGCGGGUAAUAUCGUGUACACCUGAUAAAUAGGACUUGCGAUUGUGGGGCGUUUGACACACUUCGUUAUCCAUGCGCUCAUGCAAUUGC